rnacentral:rRNA from 1 species
UGGGGAAUAUUGCGCAAUGGGGGGAACCCUGACGCAGCCAUGCCGCGUGAAUGAAGAAGGCCUUAGGGUUGUAAAGUUCUUUCGGUAUUGAGGAAGGUUGAUGUGUUAAUAGCACAUCAAAUUGACGUUAAAUACAGAAGAAGCACCGGCUAACUCCGUGCCAGCAGCCGCGGUAAUACGGAGGGUGCGAGCGUUAAUCGGAAUAACUGGGCGUAAAGGGCACGCAGGCGGUUAUUUAAGUGAGGUGUGAAAGCCCUGGGCUUAACCUAGGAAUUGCAUUUCAGACUGGGUAACUAGAGUACUUUAGGGAGGGGUAGAAUUCCACGUGUAGCGGUGAAAUGCGUAGAGAUGUGGAGGAAUACUGAAGGCGAAGGCAGCCCCUUGGGAAUGUACUGACGCUCAUGUGCGAAAGCGUGGGGAGCAAACAGGAUUAGAUACCCUGGUAGUCCACGCUGUAAACGCUGUCGAUUUGGGGGUUGGGGUUUAACUCUGGCGCCCGUAGCUAACGUGAUAAAUCGACCGCCUGGGGAGUACGGCCGCAAGGUUA